UACGGAGGGUGCGAGCGUUAAUCGGAAUUACUGGGCGUAAAGGGUGCGUAGGUGGUUAUAUAAGUUAGCUGUGAAAUUCCUGGGCUUAACCUAGGGUGGUCAGCUAAGACUGUAGGACUGGAGUAUAGGAGAGGGUAGUGGAAUUUCCGGUGUAGCGGUGAAAUGCGUAGAGAUCGGAAGGAACAUCGGUGGCGAAGGCGGCUACCUGGCCUAAUACUGACACUGAGGCACGAAAGCGUGGGGAGCAAACAGGAUUAGAUACCCUGGUAGUCCACGCUGUAAACGAUGUCAACUAGCUGUUGGCCUUAUGAAUGAGGUUAGUGGCGCAGCAAACGCGAUAAGUUGACCGCCUGGGGAGUACGGUCGCAAGAUUA
rnacentral:rRNA from 1 species